CCGUUGCCGGCGACCGGCACACGGGUGAGUAACACGUAUGCAACCUGCCCGUGGCAGGGGGAUAAGCGGGGGAAACCCCGUCUAAUACCGCGUAACGCGGCCUUGGGGCAUCCCAAGGCCGCCAAAGGGAGCAAUCCCGGCCACGGAUGGGCAUGCGGCGCAUUAGCUAGUCGGCGGGGUAACGGCCCACCGAGGCGACGAUGCGUAGGGGUUCUGAGAGGAAGGCCCCCCACACUGGUACUGAGACACGGACCAGACUCCUACGGGAGGCAGCAG
rnacentral:rRNA from 1 species